rfam:Rattus norvegicus chromosome 3, whole genome shotgun sequence.
GGGGAUUUAGCUCAGUGGUAGAGCGCUUGCCUCGAAAGCACAAAGCCCUGGGUUCGGUCCCCAGCUCCG